rnacentral:tRNA from 1 species
NGUAAGGUCAGCUAAUUAAGCUAUCGGGCCCAUACCCCGAAAAUGUUGGUUCAUAUCCUUCCCAUNCUA